CCUGUUAUAUGCCUUUAUUGUCACAUAUUCAUUUUGUCGCUGGGCCAUUGCGUUAACCUUUGCUUUCCAGCGUAUAAAUUGACAAGCCCGAACGGAUGUUCGGGCUUUUUUUGUUUCCAGG
rfam:Salmonella enterica subsp. enterica serovar Typhimurium str. LT2, complete genome.